GGGGUGCUGCGCGGCAAGGUGCCGCGGUGCUGAGAUAAGACCCAAUAAACUUGAUCGGGGUAAUGCCCGCGGAAGGAAUGAAAGAU
rnacentral:ncRNA from 1 species